AGUGAACGCUGGCGGUAGGCCUAACACAUGCAAGUCGAACGGCAGCACAGUAAGAGCUUGCUCUUACGGGUGGCGAGUGGCGGACGGGUGAGGAGUACAUCGGAAUCUACUUUUUCGUGGGGGAUAACGUAGGGAAACUUACGCUAAUACCGCAUACGACCUACGGGUGAAAGCAGGGGAUCUUCGGACCUUGCGCGAUUGAAUGAGCCGAUGUCGGAUUAGCUAGUUGGCGGGGUAAAGGCCCACCAAGGCGACGAUCCGUGGCUGGUCUGAGAGGAUGAUCAGCCACACUGGAACUGAGACACGGUCCAGACUCCUACGGGAGGCAGCAGUGGGGAAUAUUGGACAAUGGGCGCAAGCCUGAUCCAGCCAUACCGCGUGGGUGAAGAAGGCCUUCGGGUUGUAAAGCCCUUUUGUUGGGAAAGAAAAGCAGCAGGUUAAUACCCCGCUGUUCUGACGGUACCCAAAGAAUAAGCACCGGCUAACUUCGUG
rnacentral:rRNA from 1 species